rnacentral:ribozyme from 1 species
UGACUAGCAACUUCUAUCCCUACCUCCUCGUGGUACUGGCCGGGGUACGAGUAACCUUGGGGAAGAUCGGGUAACCAACCCCGGUGGGAGCUUUGGUCGUAUGCUGACAGGGAAGG